GUGAGUUGAUCUCAGAGGUCGUGAUGCAAAGUGUUAUGAUGCUACCAAGAUACGAUGCCAAGUUAGUCAAAGUUCACAGUGAUUGCAAUGAAUUUGAAGUAGCCGAUGCGAUGAAUUAACAGUAUAUUUGAAAGAGAAUUAGUAGAAGAAAAAGAGAGUGAAUUUGAAAUUAAAGAGACCCCAUUGUUGGCUUUGCUUGAAGAAUUUCAUAAAACUUGGAAGAUCAAGCCCACUUUGGUAAACCUGAACCUUUGAAUAGAGAGGUUGUUGGUGCUCCUUUUGUGAAGAUCAAAGGCAACAUUGAUUUACACUCAAAUCAUGAUUGAAAGACUAGAUAAUAUCAUUAGUUGCUGGAACAUUCUUUGAGAAAUUCUGUAGCUUCUGAGCAAAAGAUCAAAAAGAAGGAACAACAUACAUAAUCAAAUGUGGGCAUCAUUCAGAAAUUCUGUCGCUUCUCCAGUUUUUUGCUUUGAUUAACUAUUUGUGUAAUUCUCUAAUAUUUUAUUUUGGUUUUGUAUCACUAAAAUUAAUGUUUGUACAACUAGAAGUGCAUAUGACACUUGAAGUAAUUCAUAUAACUCUUUUAUUGUAUUUAAAUUUAGUCAAAUUUUAAUUAAACUUAAUAUAUUA